rnacentral:rRNA from 1 species
CCUACGGGAGGCUGCAGUGGGGAAUAUUGCACAAUGGGCGCAAGCCUGAUGCAGCCAUGCCGCGUGUAUGAAGAAGGCCUUCGGGUUGUAAAGUACUUUCAGCGGGGAGGCGUUACCCGCAGAAGAAGCACCGGCUAACUCCGUGCCAGCAGCCGCGGUAAUACGGAGGGUGCAAGCGUUAAUCGGAAUUACUGGGCGUAAAGCGCACGCAGGCGGUCUGUUAAGUCAGAUGUGAAAUCCCCGGGCUUAACCUGGGAACUGCAUUUGAAACUGGCAGGCUUGAGUCUUGUAGAGGGGGGUAGAAUUCCAGGUGUAGCGGUGAAAUGCGUAGAGAUCUGGAGGAAUACCGGUGGCGAAGGCGGCCCCCUGGACAAAACUGACGCUCAGGUGCGAAAGCGUGGGGAGCAAACAGGAUUAGAUACCCUUGUAGUC